GCUCUACCUGACAACCGAGAGUCUGUAUAAAUUCAGCCAACCACAUAUCCAGGUCCAUCUUUCAAAGGCCUAUCACAUGCCAGAGUCCAUCUUUCCGUUGCCAAUCAAAUGGCUAAGUCCAUCUUUCUACCACCAAUCAUGCAUAGCCUGGUCCAUCUUUCUAAGCCAAUCAGCUGCCAGAGUCCAUCUUUCUGUUGCCAAUCAAAUGGCAAAGUCCAUCUUUCUACCGCCAAUCAUGAAACGCUGUCCAUUUUUCACCGUAGCAACGGUCCUCCUGUUUUGUUUCUUCCGUCGCUACGGGAAACUUGAAGUUGCUGAACCACAAGAACCAUAGAAAAAUGCACUCUGCAUAAAAGAGGACAGAUGACCCUAACAAAGGGAAGUCGCAGCUGCACUUGUGGCUUUCACAAUACCAAGGCAUCCUUCAUUCAAUAAGGCAAAACCCAAGUAUAGAUAUGUUAUGCUUAUCCCUCAACAGUAGGAACCUCAGAAGAAGCGCUGGUUUCCCCUUUCAAAACCCUUUUUUAACCUUUGACAAGAGUCAGCACCGUUUUUAUAUAGGCAUUCCCUAAUGCUCACAAUGUUAUGCCCUAUUUGAAUAUACAGUAUAAAUCCAAAAGUCAUGCAUUGUGCACCCACAUACUGUAUGUGCAUUCAUGCAUUUGGCUGUACAAAGCGUGGAAAGACUUAUCAAAAACAACAACAA